rnacentral:rRNA from 1 species
AUUUGACUCAACGCGGGGAAUCUUACCGGGUCCGGACACACUGAGGAUUGACAGACAAUUGUCUUUUUGUCAAAUUUAAAGACAAAAGAUAACAGAUCUUUCAUGAUUAUGUGAUGGGUGGUGCAUGGCCGUUCUUAGUUCGUGGAGUGAUCUGUCUGCUUAAUUGCGUUUCAAAUAUAUUUUAUUAUAUAACGAGUCUACAAAGGAGUGGUUCAUUAACAGACAAUCAUAUCUUUGAGCGUCUGGAAUCUACUCUAUUUGGCUCAAUUGAACGCAACGGACGUGAUCGCGAGUCCUUGUUGAACUUCAGUAUAUAUUGACUUUCCCCGUAGGAAGGGAUUGGCAAUAAUUGAAUGUUCGCUUUCUAUAGGUGUGUAUGAUUAAUCUCAAAAUUACAUGUAUUUGUAGUGGCGAGUAUAAUCUAUCCUAUAGGAAAACUCGGGCGACCGCUGUAAUAUUUCUCUUUAAAACAGAGGAAGAUUGCGGCAAUAACAGG